AUCGACAAUACUUCAAAGAAUCAUUUCUUUAGUAAACGUCCUUCUUCUGUGUUCUCUACAAGAGCCACAGACUCCAACUGGGACGAUGAGCCGAUCCUCGAUGCCCUAGAGUGAAACCGUUUUUGCUUUCGUUUCUCUCCGCAAGGAGGGACGAGUUGAGUCCUGGCAACAGUGACUUGAUUUGUAUAGAAAGUGGUGAUGAUCUCGACCCUCUUUUGGUUCUCUUAGGAGUCUGGAUUGGGGUGGGUGUUGAUGGACGUCUGACCAGU
rnacentral:snoRNA from 19 species